AAGACAUAGUCAAUGGUGUACAAGUCUCCUCCUUUUGGCCAUUAGGUUCAAGUUGAUCCAGAUAGUCUUGAUACUCACCAGAUUAGGGAUUCUUAGCUUUACUUUCUACAUCAGACUGAGGCUCUACAAUCAAUUGAUACAAUUGGGGCUUAGUACACUUAUGGCCAGGAGUGUACUUAGCUACAAACCAAAAGCACAACCUAUUCUUUCUCCUAUCUUCCAUCUCACAUUGAGAAAGAAACUUAAC
rnacentral:lncRNA from 1 species